GCCGGAGUAGCUCAGUUGGUAGAGCGGCGGUAUCGUAAACCGCAGGUCGCCGGUUCAAUCCCGGCCUCCGGCU
rnacentral:tRNA from 1 species